UUGCUUACCUGGCAGGGGAGAUACCAUGAUCACGGAGGUGGUUUUCCAAGAGCGAGGCUUAUCCAUUGCACUCCGGAUAUGCCGACCCCUGCAAUUUCCCCAAAUGUGGGAAACUUGAUUGCAUAAUUUGUGGCAGUGGGGGACUGUGUUCACACUCUCCCCUG
rnacentral:snRNA from 1 species